AAAUGUCUUAUUUUUUAAAUGGCUGGUAAAAACAUUUUUUUCCAUUGAAGACAGUGUAUUUUAUUUUUAAACACACUGCACGCUGGCAGGGAGAGGGAUUUCUAAACUGCACUCAUAAAAAAAAG